GGGGUCUUAGCUCAGCUGGGAGAGCAUCUGCCUUACAAGCAGGAGGUCAUAGGUUCGAGCCCUAUAGGCCCCA
rnacentral:tRNA from 2 species